UUCAUGUAAAUCCAAGUUGACAACGAAGGCCAAUUGGCGGUUCAGCUGACUUCAAAGUGUGAUCUUUUAUCGAUAAUUCAUAUUCAGACAGAUAAUAGUAUUCCGUUUAUCCCUCAACGACAAGUGAAGACAGCAUUCCUUUAUUUGGUUCAACGACGUCUUAGUUAUUGCCGUUGACAUCAAGCUGAUGGCAUUAGCUUAGAAAGAAGCUCAGUAAAGGGUGGCUUCCAGGAAACAGGAAGGUUAAUAAAUUGCAUUAAAUCACGUGGAUGGCAAAGUUUCAAGCUAAAAAGACCAUUGGUGCACCAUUUCAAAUAGAAUGUCAAUCUUCUUUCAUUAAGGCAGGCAAGCUACCCAUGGCUCAAAGACUGAAAUGUGAGCAAGUUUUUGACAGACAAGUUUUUUGAAGAUUUGAAGACAAAUCGUUUUCAAUGACAAAAAGGAUAGGUUUGACCCAGGUUGAUAUUGGUCGAAUCAGUGAGUCCAAGGUGUCUUCUGAGCCUAUCGGCGUUUGCAACCAGCAUAACUCUAUUCACCAGCGGCAAACUUAGAUAUGGAAAAUUCCAAUACAAGAGGUAUUAUUGACAGCAUAAACAUCAGCUAUCCUAUACAUUAUGAACAUUCAAACAAUAAGUAAACAGUCAAAUAAAAUGUU